rnacentral:tRNA from 1 species
GCCCGGGUGAUGGAAUAGGUAGACAUAGGGGACUUAAAAUCCCCAGGCCAUAUGGCCGUGCGGGUUCGAUUCCCGCCCCGGGCA